rnacentral:rRNA from 1 species
ACAUUUGCGCCGCUGUCUACUAAAAUAGAAACACCCUUUGCUGUCGGAAUCAACGGUGCCAUCGGUGGACGUUCCACGCCGCGGAUUCUACCCACGAUAACCUGUCCGCCUACCAGAAUCGCGCCCGAACUUCCGGCUGAUACAAAUGCAUCUGCUUUCUUUUCUUUGACCAUUGUCAGCGCACGUACCAUGGAAGAAUCUUUUUUCCGGCGGAUUGCCAUAACCGGCUGCUCACCGGUUUCAAUAACGUCCGGUGCAUCAACCACUUCAAUCUGUCCCUGCGGAUAAGUGUAUUUUGCAAGUUCUGCACGGACCUGUUCUUCCCUGCCGACCAGCUUUACGAAUAAACCGGCUUCUUCUUUCACUGCUUCUACCGCACCUUUUACAAUUUCCACCGGUGCGUUAUCUCCACCCAUUGCAUCGAGUGCAACGAUUACUUUUUCACUCACUAAAAUAGCCCUGCCUUUCCAAGCGUCUUCUAUCUGAUAAUUUUACUAUAUCUGUGUCUUAAAAUCAAGCAUUGUAUCAACACAGCUGCAUCAGCUUACAGUUUUCUAUUCCGGCAGACCAGAACUGCGUAAGCGGCAGUUUCUUUACCUGACAGACAAUGCUUGAAUUCAUUGCACCGUGUCCUACUAUCAGAAUAUCCUUUUCCUGUGCAAGCUGCGGCUUUACAACCUUUUCAAGAAAAUCGCCGGUACGGGCAAACAGUUCUUCAAAGCUUUCCGCCCCCUUAUCCGCCACAAAACGCUCCGGUGCCUGAAAUGCCAGAUUGAUUGGGCAGUCCGGCAAUGCAAAGCUGUUUUCCCAAAGGAAUUGACGGGGGCCCGCACAAGCGGUGGAGUAUGUGGUUUAAUUCGACGCAACGCGAAGAACCUUACCAAGGCUUGACAUUGAUUGAACGCUCUAGAGAUAGAGUUUUCCCUUCGGGGACAAGAAAACAGGUGGUGCAUGGCUGUCGUCAGCUCGUGUCGUGAGAUGUUGGGUUAAGUCCCGCAACGAGCGCAACCCCUAUCCUAUGUUACCAGCAAGUAAAGUUGGGGACUCAUGGGAGACUGCCAGGGACAACCUGGAGGAAGGCGGGGAUGACGUCAAGUCAUCAUGCCCCUUAUGUCUUGGGCUACACACGUACUACAAUGGUCGGAAACAGAGGGAAGCGAAGCCGCGAGGCAGAGCAAACCCCAGAAACCCGAUCUCAGUUCGGAUCGCAGGCUGCAACCCGCCUGCGUGAAGUCGGAAUCGCUAGUAAUCGCAGGUCAGCAUACUGCGGUGAAUACGUUCCCGGGCCUUGUACACACCGCCCGUCACACCACGAAAGUUGGUAACACCCGAAGCCGGUGAGGUAACCUAUUAGGAGCCAGCCGUCUAAGGUGGGGCCGAUGAUUGGGGUGAAGUCGUAACAAGGUAGCCGUAUCGGAAGGUGCGGCUG